rnacentral:rRNA from 1 species
UACGAACGCUGGCGGCGUGCCUAAUACAUGCAAGUUGAGCGCUGAAGGUUGGUACUUGUACCAACUGGAUGAGCAGCGAACGGGUGAGUAACGCGUGGGGAAUCUGCCUUUGAGCGGGGGACAACAUUUGGAAACGAAUGCUAAUACCGCAUAAAAACUUUAAACACAAGUUUUAAGUUUGAAAGAUGCAAUUGCAUCACUCAAAGAUGAUCCCGCGUUGUAUUAGCUAGUUGGUGAGGUAAAGGCUCACCAAGGCGAUGAUACAUAGCCGACCUGAGAGGGUGAUCGGCCACAGUGGGACUGAGACACGGCCCAAACUCCUACGGGAGGCAGCAGUAGGGAAUCUUCGGAAAGGGACGAAAGUCUGACCGAGCAACGACGCGGGAGUGAAGAAGGUUGUCGGAUCGUAAAACUCGGUUGGUAGAGAAGAACGUUGGUGAGAGUGGAAAGCUCAUAAAGUGACGGUAACUACCCAGAAAGGGACGGCUAACUACGUG